rnacentral:rRNA from 1 species
UACGUAGGGGGCAAGCGUUGUCCGGAUUUAUUGGGCGUAAAGAGCGUGUAGGCGGCUAGGUAGGUCAGUUGUGAAAACUCGAGGCUCAACCUCGAGACGUCGAUGGAAACCAUCUAGCUAGAGUCCGGAAGAGGAGAGUGGAAUUCCUGGUGUAGCGGUGAAAUGCGCAGAUAUCAGGAAGAACACCCGUGGCGAAGGCGGCUCUCUGGUACGUGACUGACGCUGAGACGCGAAAGCGUGGGGAGCGAACAGG